ACUUUUGCCAGACAAAGCAUUCACAAGGAGGGUCAGAGAAGGGCCAGCUGGCUACUAGCACUGAGCCAGCUUUCCUCGCAGCUCUUUGGGAUACACAGCUUUGUUCAGCUCUGCCAGGCUUUUCAAGCAAUAUGUGAAUAUAAGGAUGCGCUCCUGGUGCAUCCCCAGAGCAGCCACUGUAAGAGGAGCUAACACAUAACUAGACAGGCACAGGAAUCAAGGCCCUAAUCUGCUCAAGAAAGGUAGUAGAGGGAUUUCCUGUGAGUUUCACAGUGCAACCUUUUCAAACAGCGAGCUUCCAAUAUGCCUGAAUCAGAAACAAGAGCAUCAAUGGAGAACAUGAAGGACUCAGGAGAGAAGAGUCAUCAUGGAUAUGCAGAUAGAGAGUUAAUGAUUAUGAAAUUUCCUUGAACAAUUUCACUGGAGCAGAUAAGUGCCACAGAAAAACAGGAUGCGGAAAUUAGAUUAGAAACUGAAUAAAAUGCAAAAAAACCCUUGUUUGUAGAAGCUA
rnacentral:lncRNA from 1 species